ACAUGCCUACAACAUAAAAUUAAUGCACUGGAUCCCAUUAGAACUUUUCAAUUAAGAAGGAUUGAGCUAGAGUAAUACUGGGAUGGGUGACCUCCUAAGAAGUCCUAGUGUUUUACAUGCC
rnacentral:rRNA from 1 species